UACGGAGGGAGCUAGCGUUGUUCGGAAUUACUGGGCGUAAAGCGCACGUAGGCGGAUUGUUAAGUUAGGGGUGAAAUCCCGGGGCUCAACCCCGGAACUGCCUUUAAUACUGGCAAUCUCGAGUCCGAGAGAGGUGAGUGGAAUUCCGAGUGUAGAGGUGAAAUUCGUAGAUAUUCGGAGGAACACCAGUGGCGAAGGCGGCUCACUGGCUCGGUACUGACGCUGAGGUGCGAAAGCGUGGGGAGCAAACAGG
rnacentral:rRNA from 1 species